GUGUGUGUGACUGUAUCACUGCUCCUUGACUGUGGUGUGUGUGUGACUGUAUCACUGAUCCCUGACUGUGGUGUCAACUGUCUUUGAUCUGUCAGGGGAGGUUAGAUUAAUAUGAUGAGGGUAAUGAGGAUCUGUCAGGGGAGGUUAGAUUAAUAUGAUGAGGGUAAUGAGGAUCUGUCAGGGGAGGUUAUAUUAAUAUGAGGGUAAUGAGAAUCUGGCAGGGGAGGUUAGAUUAAGAUGAGGGUAAUGAGAAUCUGACAGGGGAGGUUAGAUUAAGAUGAGGGUAAUGAGAAUCUGACAGGGGAGGUUAGAUUAAGAUGAGGGUAAUGAGGAUCUGGCAGGGGAGGUUAGAUUAAGAUGAGGAUCUGACAGGGGAGGUUAGAUUAAGAUGAGGGUAAUGAGGAUCUGGCAGUUGCUCCCAGGAAAUGAUGUGAUUAUAUUCAGCAAACAUUUAUUCAAUUUGAACACAGGGAUUUCAGUGAACUUUCCCUGCAGGUCAAUGAUUAUUAUAAAGUCCUCAUCUAUAAUAUAAUAAAUGAAAGGAAAGCUAGUAGGUUACCCCUGAGACACCUCAGUGGUUGUACAAUGUAGACUAAAUCUCUGGGUGAUCUGAUCUCUCUCUGGUUCGUUAGUACACCAUUGGAGAACUGGCAGUACCCACUGAGUGUGGGAGGACUGUCAGUACCCACUGAGUGUGGGAGGACUGGGCAUCAAAGCUCCCGUUGUUGUGUAAGAGAACAGUGAAGGAGAAGUGUUUUCUCUCUCUGCUUUUGGUCAGUGUCCAGUCUACUUUGAUAUCUGGUGUGGGGGCAGUUUAGUCCAGGGAAACUCGUAUGGAUCAAUACAGAGCCCUAUAGCGAAUUGACGUAGGGGUUUGCAAGCAAGACAACGUGAUGUGCUGACGUCUUAAUAAGCUCAAUCAAUAGCGGAGGUGUGUGUGUGUGUGUGUGAGAUUUGUUAAACGAGUGUUUAGAGUGUUAUUUGUGUGUGUGUGCUUAUUUCCACAAGUUGUGUGAGAUUUGUCUGUGUGUGGAUUUACAGAGUAUCUGUCUGUGUAUCAAUCCAGGUGUUUCACCACUGCAGGGUUUGUAAAAAGAGCCCUCUGCCAAGCCGGAGCCCAGGAUGUGCUGCACCAAUAUCCCUGGCCAGCGGCUAUAGACGGGCUGUUCAUUCUGUUUCCUCCCAGGCGAUCACAGGGAGAUCCAUAUCUGGCUCUGGAAGUCAACUGUACUGCUGGUUAAUGGAUUGAUAAUGUCAUUGAUUGGCUGUCCAUUAACCUAUUGUACCAGGUCUGAGUCUGUCCCUGGCCUAAUUAGAAAGGAAAGAUUAAAACAGAAAUGCUGGAGACUGCAGACCAUUAGGGUCGACACAUACACACACACAAUGAGGCCUGGUAUAGGAAACUGCUCUGCUGUGUGUGAUUUUUCUGGGGGUAGUAUAAUGGAGGGUCUGGUCUAGAGGUCGACCGAUUAAUCGGAAUUGCCGAUUUCAUGUUUUCAUAAUCGGUAAUCUGCAUUUUUGAACACUGAUUGUGGCCGAUUUUUUUUUUUUUUUAAUGUUUAUUAUUAUUAUUUUUAACCUUGUAUUUAACUAGGCAAGUCAGUUAAGAACACAUUCUUAUUUUCAAUGACGGCCUAGGAAAGGUGGGUUAACUGCCUUGUUCAGGGGGAGAACGACCGAUUUUUACCUUGUCAGCUCGGGGAUUCAAUCUUGCACCCUUCUGGUUACUAGUCCAAUGCUCUAACCACCUGCCUUACAUAGCACGAGGACUCUGCGUGGCAGGCUGACUACCUGUUACGUGAGUGCAGCAAGAAAAGCCAAGGUAAGUUGCUAGCUAGCAUUAAACUUAUCUUAUAAAAAACAAUCAAUCUUAACAUAAUCACUAGUUAACUACACACGGUUGAUGGUAUUACUAGGUUAUCUAGCAUGUCCUGCGUUGCAUAUGAUCAAUGCGGUGCCUGCUAAUUUCUCAUCAAAUAACAGCCUACUUCGCCAAAAGGGUGUUGAUUUAACAAGCGCAUUUGCGAAAAAAUCACUGGCGUUGCACCAAUGUGUACCAAACCAUAAACAUCAAUGCCUUUCUUUAAAAUCAAUACACAAGUAUAUAUUUGUACACCUGCAUAUUUAGUUAAUAUUGCCUGCUAACAUGAAUUGCUUUUAACUAGGGAAAUUGUGUCACAUCUCUUGCGUUCCGUGCAAGCAGUCAGGGUUUAUGCAGCAGUUUGGGCCGCCUGGCUCGUUGUGAACUGUGUGAAGUCCAUUUAUUCCUAACAAAGACCGUAAUUAACUUGCCAGAAUUGUACAUAAUUAUGACAACAUUGAAGGUUGUACAAUGUAACAGCAAUAUUUAGACUUAGGGUAGUAUAGUGGAGGGUCUGGUGUGAUUGGUCUGGAGGGUAGUAUAGUGGAGGGUCUGGAGGGUCUUAUAGUGGAGGGUCUGGUGUGUUGUUCUGGAGGGUAGUAUAGUGGAGGGUCUGGUGUGUUGUUCUGGAGGGUAGUAUAGUGGAGGCCCUCUACUGUCCUGACACAGACCCUAGCCAGGGUAUUAGGAUGUAGACAGGAGACACCACCCCUAGCCUGGGUAUUAGGAUGUUGGGGGGUAGACAGGAGACACCGCCCCUAGCCAGGGUAUUAGGAUGUUGGGGAGUAGACAGGAGACAGGGGCACACAGGGUGUUAGGAUGUUGGGGAGUAGACAGGAGACAACGCCCCUAGCCUGGGUAUUAGGAUGUUGGGGGUUAGACGGGAGACACCGCCCCUAGCCUGGGUAUUAGGAUGUUGGGGUUAGACAGGAGACAC
ensembl:lncRNA